AUAUAGUGGAGCCACUACGGUCCUCACAGACAUUUCUAAAUGUGAGUUAAAAGGGAAUCCGGUAAAGGGUAUUCAAAAAGAUGAAUAUUCUAAAGCCGGGGCUGCCCCCGCAACUGUAAUCAGCCACCAGUUUUAGGACUGGUCGCUCGGGCAACAUGCCACUGGAUAUAUCCGGGAAGGCUGUCUGAGUGAAGCUGAAAGCCAGGAGACCUGCCGUGGAUAUUUUUCGUAA
rnacentral:ncRNA from 2 species